rnacentral:rRNA from 1 species
CAGCAGCCACGGGAAUACAGAGGGUGCAAGCGUUAAUCGGAAUUACUGGGCGUAAAGCGCGCGUAGGUGGUUUGUUAAGUUGGAUGUGAAAUCCCCGGGCUCAACCUGGGAACUGCAUCCAAAACUGGCAAGCUAGAGUAUGGUAGAGGGUGGUGGAAUUUCCUGUGUAGCGGUGAAAUGCGUAGAUAUAGGAAGGAACACCAGUGGCGAAGGCGACCACCUGGACUGAUACUGACACUGAGGUGCGAAAGCGUGGGGAGCAAACAGGAUUAGAUACCCGUGUAGUCCCUGUCUCUUAUAC